rnacentral:rRNA from 1 species
UACAGAGGGUGCGAGCGUUAAUCGGAAUUACUGGGCGUAAAGCGCACGUAGGUGGCUUGGCAAGUCGGGUGUGAAAUCCCCGGGCUCAACCUGGGAACUGCAUUCGAGACUGCCUUGCUAGAGUAUGGGAGGGGGAAGUGGAAUUUCCGGUGUAGCGGUGAAAUGCGUAGAUAUCGGAAGGAACAUCAGUGGCGAAGGCGACUUCCUGGACCAAUACUGACACUCAGGUGCGAAAGCGUGGGGAGCAAACAGG